GAUGAACGCUGGCGGCGUGCCUAAUACAUGCAAGUCGAGCGAACGGACGAGAAGCUUGCUUCUCUGAUGUUAGCGGCGGACGGGUGAGUAACACGUGUAUAACCUACCUAUAAGACUGGGAUAACUUCGGGAAACCGGAGCUAAUACCGGAUAAUAUUUUGAACCGCAUGGUUCAAAAGUGAAAGACGGUCUUGCUGUCACUUAUAGAUGGAUCCGCGCUGCAUUAGCUAGUUGGUAAGGUAACGGCUUACCAAGGCAACGAUGCAUAGCCGACCUGAGAGGGUGAUCGGCCACACUGGAACUGAGACACGGUCCAGACUCCUACGGGAGGCAGCAGUAGGGAAUCUUCCGCAAUGGGCGAAAGCCUGACGGAGCAACGCCGCGUGAGUGAUGAAGGUCUUCGGAUCGUAAAACUCUGUUAUUAGGGAAGAACAUAUGUGUAAGUAAAUGUGCACAUCUUGACGGUACCUAAUCAGAAAGCAACGGCUAACUACGUG
rnacentral:rRNA from 1 species